CAGUGGCGUAGCUGUGUCAUUUUUACGUGUACGCCCGAACCUUGGCGAGGGAUAUGAGGGGUGCCAACCGCUCAAUGUCAAAGCACCUGUUGGUAGUGGGUUCGAAAGGGACGAAGCCCCCGAAAGCUAUCGAGAAUGAGAUACCAUAAUGAUUCCUGUCAGUAAAAAAUCAUUGAUAACAACAUACUUUUGAAUCUAAAUGUUUUUUUUUUUUUUUUGGUUAAAUUUUGUAAUAUGUUAACUUAUUCAUCGUGUUAAACUGGAAGCUAGCCUUAUGGUCAUUGGUUUUAGAGAAAACGUCCAAACCAAUAUUACUUUUAAAUAAGUUUAAAUGGUGCCGUGAG
rnacentral:lncRNA from 1 species